UUAUGCUCCAUUCCAUCCCGCUCCGCUCCAUUCCAUCUUAUUCCAUUCCGCUCCAUUCCGUUAUGUACCCUUUUGAUUUUGUUCCAGCUCCACCACAAUUUCCCAAUGUCCUCUUUACACCAUAGAAACUCACAUACAAAUAGUAAGAGUAGGAGCAAUGAAUCUCAUGAGAUUUCCAAACGACUAAAAGGGAAAGAGCAAUCAUUUGAGAGGGAAAACUAAUGAUUCUUACCUUAAUUUGCUCACAUCCAGAACUGAUGGUCUUGUAACAAGAUUCAAGACUCAGGAUUGUUACAUGCAAGCACUAACCCAUAAGAAAUUGAAGAUGGAUUUUCUGGGUAUUUGACAGAGGCGUGGAGUGAGGGGUGGAAAAGAGAGAGAGCUUGAAUAACUUGUCUUGUUUCUUGAAUUACUAAAAUGAAGGAUAAAGGGGGUGGGUGUUGUUGUUUGCGUGAGGAAGAGAAGAGAGUUUCUUUGUUCUGUUUUCAUGCGUGAAAAGAGAGAGAAGACAUUGUGAGUUGUUGUGGUAAUGACUAAGAGAGAAAGAAGGAAUAGACUUGUCUUCCUUUAUAGGUGAGUGGGUCCCUUGACCCUUGUUUUGCUUCUACUUCAC
rnacentral:lncRNA from 1 species